rnacentral:tRNA from 1 species
AGUUAUUUGGCUGAUAGGAAAGCCCGUGUUUUGAAAGCUCGCUAUAGGGGUUCGAAUCCCCUAAUAACUU